CUUUAAAAAAAUGAAUAAACAAGAAGUGGGGGGAGGGGAGUUGAAAGAGGCUGGUUUUACUUUAGAACUAGUGAUUUACCAUUUCAUUAUCUCACAGUGAAAUAGACUCCUGGAGCAGACCCCUUCCGCACCUGCACCUGCACCUCCUUUCUGGAAUGUUACCUACCUAUCAUGGGAAGAAUUUCAAAACAAGAGUUGAUGCCAAAAACUUAGCACAGUGGGAGUCGGGUCUGGAGGCACCUGCUACAGGAACCAGUAGGGUUUGCACCCAAUUAUAUACUAAGAUUCUGACAACUACAAACCCAGUCAAAUUCUGGAUACUUACAUCAACAUUUCAAGGGUAUCUAAUAAGUUUAACAUUUUUUUUUGUCUGUCUGUUGUUAAUCUUCUAGAAAGAAUUAACAUUCGAAAACCUCUUCGUUGAAAACAUUAGCUUUAGAGCUUUGGGGAAAACAGUUCGCAUUGACGAUUUGAAAAUUAGGACUAAAGAGAACUCCGGCCUCAUUACUUCCUUCCGAUAAGCUGGGCAGGCUUCCAGGUGUGUGACCUGUGCACUCAGGGCCCUGUGCAUUCAGCAGGGCCCCCACUAUGGGUUGAAUGCUCUGCUGUUGCCACCCUGGCAUCUCAACAAAUUGCCUCACUUUCUCAGUUUGUACCGGGCCCUGCAAACUACAUCAGUGGGGCUGGUAGCCUCACCCAGUUAAAAAAGAUAAAUACCUUCCGUUGAACAUACAUAAAAACCCAAGUGCAGGAAAAUACCUAAGAGGCGAGGCGGCCCGCACCCUCGGGUGCCACCAGACAGCGCUCCGCUCGGAACCCCAGACGAGGCUUUCCCGCGCCCCCCGAGCCACCAGUGUUUAGGUGGCAGCGGCUAAGUCACUAUCGGGCUAUGGCGCUGCCCGCCACGGGCGCCAGCCCCGGCACGUUGGACCAGUCACUUGGCCUCAGGCCUACUCCGUUUUCUCAUCCGUAAUGUAGAGCAGAGCUGUCCUGGCUGCUCCGCAUGAGGGAAGGCCACAUGGGAAGAGCCUGCGUAUCCUUCCACAUUGUGUAAGUUCCUCGACGGCAGAAAUCUAGUAUCAAUAUCCUCGGUUUUAAGAAACAUAAAGUAGUGCCAGGCACUCUGCAUGUUGGGCCAUAAAACCUGUUUACUGACAUAAAAAGUCUGCCCUUACUAUCAAUGCUGUUAAGGUAGGACUCCACAUACGUGUAGAAAACCAAUUUCUCAGGGAAAAAGCAGAU